rnacentral:rRNA from 1 species
AUUGAACGCUGGCGGCAGGCCUAACACAUGCAAGUCGAGCGGAGCGGCGGACGGGUGAGUAAUGCCUAGGAAUCUGCCUGGGCGUGGGGGAUAACGUCCGGAAACGGGCGCUAAUACCGCAUACUAUCAGAUGAGCCUAGGUCGGAUUAGCUAGUUGGUGGGGUAAAGGCAUACCAAGGCGACGAUCCGUACCUGGUCGGCGAGGAUGACCAGUCACACUGGAACUGAUACACGGCCCAGACUCCUACGGGAGGCAGAAGUGGGGAAUUUUGCACAAUGGGCGCAAGCUGGAUGCAGCCAUGCCGCGUGUAUGAAGAAGGCCUUCGGGUUGUAAAGUACUUUCAUUCGGGAGGCGUUACCGACAGAAGAAGCACCGGCUAACUCCGUGCCAGCAGCCGCGGUAAUAC